AUGCCAAAGCGGAAGAAAGCCUGGUUUCGUGAUGCAGAUAGUUUUGAAACUCGCAUUACACUUGAGGCAGACCGAGGAUUCCUUAACCUCUUGGACCGGACGCAAGACAGUCUCAGGAAUGCACGAAACAAUGCGCCAAACAUGACGACGAAAGUCUUGGGUGGGUUUGUUAGAACCUUCUACUUUGAUGAAGAAUCUAAUGCUGAUGUCAUUGACGGCGAAAUGCAAAUUGAGUAUGAUCUAGAACAGAUCAAAGUAUACCCUAUCACAGUAGUGGUCUUAGAGCAUAAGGACAACUCUAGUGAGAUUGGAGAUGCAAUUGUUGGGCAUACUCAAAAGCUUUCUGGCUAUGGUGGUGGCUUACUUGUGCGAGCAUAUUUCAGUGCGUUUGCCCAUAAAAUCCAGAAAUAUAUAGUGGCCUACGAGCCAUUCGCCCGGUCCUCAAUUUGGGAAAUACGCAACCCGACAUUUUUUUCUGCUGAUGGCCUACAGCUGGACUUGACAGAAUAUUGGCGAAAAAGAAUGAGGUCAUUCAUAAAACUUCUCCAUUAUGCGGCACAGUGCGAAAUCAAGCAUGGUAGUCUCUUGAGCCUUAGCAGCUACGUGACUUGUCGUGGAGACCAGAGGAUAAUUAAUGUGGGGAAAGUUUAUCAUGACCAAUACGAAGCCGGGAAAGACAUGGAGGAUCUUAUGCAUCUUAUAUCUAAACUAUUCCCUGACAGUUCGACUAAUUAUGAGUGGGUAUCCCUUAAGAAUCUUCUGAUUUCAAAGACAAUGAGUGACCCAGCAACAGUCCAGAAUUUCCUUCGUAUUGCCUUGGGGCACCCAAUUUUAUUGGGCACCGUAGAAGAAAAACUGGAAUGCUUUGUAACUCUCCACGACGGUGUGAUGGAUCUGGACGAUGCUUUCGGGCACAGAGCUAGGUUCUCAAAUAGGAUUCACCGUGACUACCCCCAGUUGAGAAGGUUCUUCUCUAGCGACCUCCAGGAUAAAGUGGCUAGCGAGUAUGAUUUCCGUUUUCGAAGACUUGUUCCGUGGAACAAGCUCUACUACGGCCUCUUUACAUUCCGACACGCCAGUUAUUUGGUACUGACAGAAAACACUAACUAUGGGAGGGAGCCACAAAAUGAACUUCCAAUGAAUCAGUUCCUAGAGGACCUUCGAUCCAAUACUUGGUCACCUAGGUAUGGUGAACGAUACAUCUAUAUCAAUAUCAUCAGGUUGGUUCAGAAACUGAUAAAGCAUGGAGCUAACUACUGUCCGCAAUUUGGGGAUCUGAAUCAUCUCCUCACUGAGAUCAAAACUCGUUUUAGCCAUAAUAUGUGUGCUUGCUACACCCUCCUAAAUACGAAGAAGGAUUGGAUUACUGAGCCGUCGUUCGAGCCAUAUGGACGACUGCCUACAUUGAUGAUGUGA
rnacentral:rRNA from 1 species